rnacentral:rRNA from 1 species
ACGGGAGGCAGCAGUGAGGAAUAUUGGUCAAUGGGCGGAAGCCUGAACCAGCCAAGUAGCGUGAAGGAUGACGGCCCUACGGGUUGUAAACUUCUUUUGCCGGGGGAUAAAAAACGGGACGCGUCCCGUCUUGCAGGUACCCGUGCGAAUAAGGACCGGCUAAUUCCGUGCCAGCAGCCGCGGUAAUACGGAAGGUCCGAGCGUUAUCCGGAUUUAUUGGGUUUAAAGGGAGCGUAGGCGGAAGGUCAAGUCAGCUGUGAAAUGUAGUCGCUCAACGUCUGCACUGCAGUUGAAACUGGCCUCCUUGAGUGCGUAAGAGGCAGGUGGAAUUCGUCGUGUAGCGGUGAAAUGCUUAGAUAUGACGAAGAACUCCGAUUGCGAAGGCAGCUUGCUGGGCCGCAACUGACGCUGAAGCUCGAAGGUGCGGGUAUCAAACAGGAUUAGAUACCCUGGUA